rnacentral:snRNA from 1 species
GUGCUGGUUUCAGCAGCACAUAUACAAAAAUUGGAACAAUGUAGAGAUUAGCAUGGCUCCUGCACAAGGAUAACAUGAAAAUUCAUGAAGUGUUCCAUAUUUUG